rnacentral:rRNA from 1 species
CCUACGGGAGGCAGCAGUGGGGAAUAUUGCACAAUGGGCGAAAGCCUGAUGCAGCAACGCCGCGUGAGCGAUGAAGGCCUUCGGGUCGUUAAGCUCUGUCCUCAAGGAAGAUAAUGACGGUACUUGAGGAGGAAGCCCCGGCUAACUACGUGCCAGCAGCCGCGGUAAUACGCAGGGGGCUACCGUUAUCCGGAGUUACUGGGCGUAAGGGGUGCGUAGGUGGUUUCUUAAGUCAGAGGUGAAAGGCUACGGCUCAACCGUAGUAAGCCUUUGAAACUGGGAAACUUGAGUGCAGGCGAGGAGAGUGGAAUUACUAGUGUAGCGGUGAAAUGCGUAGAUAUUAGGAAGAACACCAGUAGCGAAGGCGGCUCUCUGGACUGUAACUGACGCUGAGGCACGAAAGCGUGGGGAGCAAACAGGAUUAGAUACCCGUGUAGUC